AUGGAAAUUUCCCAUUAUGUUCAGCAUAUAUAAAAACAAUUUCUUCUGUAUGCCUACUGGAUAGGCUUGGGGAUGUAGUCUUCUGUGGGGUUUGGAACAGGGCUGCACACCUUUCUGUUUUAUCUGGGCCCACACAGAGCUUCACUUACAUUAGCUGCUUAUGAAUGUAACUCAGUGAAUUUCCUUGAGCCACUCUAUCCUGACCAGAUUAUUUGUCCAGAUGAACAGGGCACUCCAGGAAGCAUUUCCUUGUGGAACAUCAUCUCGAAAGUUAGGAUUGAGGCCUGCAUGUGGGGUAUCAGUACAGCUAUCAUAGAGCUGCCUCCAUACUUCAUGGCCAGAGCAGCUUGCCUCUCAGGCCCUGAACCAGAUGAUGAAGAGUAUCACAAAUUUGAAGAAAUGCCAAGACAUGCAGAGUCUGCACAGGACUUUCCCUCAUGAGCAAAACUCGCAAUUCAAAGACUCGUACAGAAGGUUGGAUUUUUUUUGAAUAUUGGUCUGUGCUUCUAUUCCAAAUCCGCUAUUUGAUCUUGCUAGAAUAAUGUUCAGACAUUUUCUUGUACCUUUUUGGACCUUCUCUGGUGCAACCCCGAUUGGAAAAGCAAUAAUUAAAAUGUAUAUCCAGAAAAUCUUUGUUAUUAUAACAUUCAGCAAGCACAUUGUGGAGCAGAUGGUAGCUUUCAUGGGUGCUGUCCCCUGCAUAGGUCCGUCUCUACAGAAGCCCUUCCAGGAAUACCUUGAGGCCCAGUGGUUGAAGCUACACCACAGGAGCAAAGGUGGUGCACCCUAGAGAGAAAACUGGCUGUCCUGGCUGUUUGAGAAGUUGGUGAUGGUGAUAGUAUAUUACUUUAUCCUGUCUAUCAUUAACUCCAUGGCACAGAGUAAUGCCAAAUGAAUUCAGCAGUGGUGGAACUCAGAGGAGAAAACUAAAUAA